rnacentral:lncRNA from 1 species
GUCCAGCCUGCACUCAGGGGAAGGAGGAGGCGCGGGCGGCGGGGAGGCGCGGGAGGCCGGGCCGGGACACAAGCCCGCCGGCGGCCGCGGCUCCUCCCCGCCCCGCGCGCCCCGAUUGGCCUGGCCGCGCGCCAGGGCCGAGCCUGCAGCGCCUCCGGUUAUAAGUUGAAGAAAUAAGACCAGUUUCCAAAUAAAUGACAAAGAGCUUGGUAUUCCUGGCAUCAGAAUCACCUGGAGGAGGAGAUGCUGCUGCUGGUGGUGGCCCAGAGACCACACAUUGAGAACCACUGCUCUAGAAAACCAUUUGUCUUUGCUGAUGGAGAAACCUGGCUCUAAUAGAAGGUCCUCUGUGGACAGUGAGCUGGACUGACCUCACAACCCUCCAGUAUGUGCAGUGGCUGAGAAUGACCCACUCCCAGCAACUUUCUGCAGCCAAGGGGUUAAUCCUCCCUGAGCUGAAGCCUGACAUGGGGGCUUGUAUGUGUCCAGGAAGUCUAGUGAAUUCGACCAUGAAUCCAGACAUGGCCAGUGGCUAAAUCCUGUGGGAAGACACUGUGCUUCUCUCUGACCCAUGAACACUCUGCUAGUCAAGCUCUCUGUCACAAAGACAACUUGAAGAGACAGAGUGGACCUCACAGAAGAUACCAUCGUCACUCUUACCAAUGCAACUGUGGUGAACAGGACCACUAUUAUUCCUUAGAUCAAAAGGACAGCACAUUCAACAGCAUCCUCAUGGCAUGCCAGCAAUUUGCAUAGGAUGUUCACAAUUAAACUUUGAUUAUCUAGUGCUUUGUGGAUGUAUUAUGUAUUACAGAAAUCUAUUUGCAACAUGGAGGCACAUUUUCUCUUUUGUUUGUUCACUUGUUUAUCUGAAAAUCAACAAAUGGUUAUAGAAUGCCUACUAUGUGCCAGGGACUUCUGGUCACAGCCUCAAACAAAAGAGAUUCUUCUGUAUUCUAUUCUUCUGUAGCUUACCAUAAAUAAGAGC